AGCAGCCGCGGUAAUUCCAGCUCCAAUAGCGUAUAUUAAAGUUGUUGCAGUUAAAAAGCUCGUAGUUGAAUUUCGGGAUCAAUAUAUUGGUCGUGCCUCCGGUACGUACUGGUAUCGUUGAUUUCUACCUUCUGACGAACCAUGAUGUCAUUAAUUUGGUGUCAUGGGAAAUCAGGACUGUUACUUUGAAAAAAUUAGAGUGUUUAAAGCAGGCACACGCUUGAAUACAUUAGCAUGGAAUAAUGAAAUAGGACGUUUGACCCUAUUUUGUUGGUUUCUAGGAUCGACGUAAUGAUUAAUAGGGAUAGUUGGGGGCAUUAGUAUUCAAUUGUCAGAGGUGAAAUUCUUGGAUUUAUUGAAGACUAACUACUGCGAAAGCAUUUGCCAAGGAUGUUUUCAUUAAUCAAGAACGAAAGUUAGGGAUCGAAGACGAUCAGAUACCGUCGUAGUCUUAACCAUAAACUAUAGCCGACUAGGGAUCGGAUGAUGUUAAUUUUUUAAUGUACUCAUUCGGCGUACC
rnacentral:rRNA from 1 species